rnacentral:rRNA from 1 species
GAUGAACGCUGGCGGCGUGCCUAAUACAUGCAAGUCGAGCGAACAGAUAAGGAGCUUGCUCCUUUGACGUUAGCGGCGGACGGGUGAGUAACACGUGGGUAACCUACCUAUAAGACUGGAAUAACUCCGGGAAACCGGGGCUAAUGCCGGAUAACAUUUAGAACCGCAUGGUUCUAAAGUGAAAGAUGGUUUUACUAUCACUUAUAGAUGGACCCGCGCCGUAUUAGCUAGUUGGUAAGGUAACGGCUUACCAAGGCAACGAUACGUAGCCGACCUGAGAGGGUGAUCGGCCACACUGGAACUGAGACACGGUCCAGACUCCUACGGGAGGCAGCAGUAGGGAAUCUUCCGCAAUGGGCGAAAGCCUGACGGAGCAACGCCGCGUGAGUGAUGAAGGUCUUCGGAUCGUAAAACUCUGUUAUUAGGGAAGAAUAAAUGUGUAAGUAACUGUGCACGUCUUGACGGUACCUAAUCAGAAAGCCACGGCUAACUACGUG